rnacentral:rRNA from 1 species
AUUGAACGCUGGCGGCAGGCCUAACACAUGCAAGUCGAGCGGAUGAAGGGAGCUUGCUCCUGGAUUCAGCGGCGGACGGGUGAGUAAUGCCUAGGAAUCUGCCUGGUAGUGGGGGAUAACGUCCGGAAACGGGCGCUGAUACCGCAUACGUCCUGAGGGAGAAAGUGGGGGAUCUUCGGACCUCACGCUAUCAGAUGAGCCUAGGUCGGAUUAGCUAGUUGGUGGGGUAAAGGCCUACCAAGGCGACGAUCCGUAACUGGUCUGAGAGGAUGAUCAGUCACACUGGAACUGAGACACGGUCCAGACUCCUACGGGAGGCAGCAGUGGGGAAUAUUGGACAAUGGGCGAAAGCCUGAUCCAGCCAUGCCGCGUGUGUGAAGAAGGUCUUCGGAUUGUAGAGCACUUUAAGUUGGGAGGAAGGGCAGUAAGUUAAUACCUUGCUGUUUUGACGUUACCAACAGAAUAAGCACCGGCUAACUUCGUG